GACGAACGCUGGCGGCGUGCUUAACACAUGCAAGUCGAACGGUGAAGCGCCUUCCUUUUUGGUGGGUGUGGAUGAGUGGCGAACGGGUGAGUAACACGUGAGUAACCUGCCCCCUUCUUCUGGAUAACCGCAUGAAAGUGUGGCUAAUACGGGAUAUUCUGGGUCUGUCGCAUGAUGGGUCUGGGAAAGAUAUUGUUUCGGUGGGGGAUGGGCUCGCGGCCUAUCAGCUUGUUGGUGGGGUGAUGGCCUACCAAGGCGGUGACGGGUAGCCGGCCUGAGAGGGUGGACGGUCACACUGGGACGGAGACACGGCCAAGACUCCUACGGGAGGCAGCAGUGGGGAAUAGUGCACAAUGGGCGCAAGCCUGAUGCAGCGACGCCGCGUGAGGGAUGGAGGCCUUCGGGUUGUGAACCUCUUUCGCCAGUGAAGCAGGCCUGCCUCGUUUGUGGGUGGGUUGACGGUAGCUGGAUAAGAAGCGCCGGCUAACUACGUG
rnacentral:rRNA from 1 species